rnacentral:rRNA from 1 species
CUUAGUUACCAGCGCGUAAUGUCGGGCACUCUAGGGAGACUGCCGGUGACAAACCGGAGGAAGGUGGGGAUGACGUCAAGUCAUCAUGGCCCUUACGGGCAGGGCUACACACGUGCUACAAUGGUCCGUACAGAGGGUUGCCAAGCUCGCGAGGUGGAGCUAAUCCCAUAAAAGCGGAUCGUAGUCCGGAUUGGAGUCUGCAACUCGACUCCAUGAAGUCGGAAUCGCUAGUAAUCGUGGAUCAGAAUGCCACGGUGAAUACGUUCCCGGGCCUUGUCACCCCCGCCGUCACCCCCAUGGGAGGGGGUGCACCAAGAAGUUAGUAGUCUAACCUCAGGAGGGACGCUACCACGUUGGAAUGCAGU